CAGGAUCCUCAGAUGUGAAUGGUUUAAAGCCCCUUUGUGGAUCCCAGAACUAUUAGUGAGCCCUGGUGCUCCAGUGAAACCAAUGACUUAAUGGGGUGGAGGUACUCCGAAUUGUGAGAAGAACUAAAAUAAAAUAGCCAGCAAACAUAUCCAAAAUGAGGCUGGAGGAAGAAGCAAUCUGAGAACGUGGGAAUAUUUGCAGUAUUUUCUUCAGAAAUUACAUACAGUGGAGCAGAUAAGCAUUGUAAAAAUAUCCAAGUCAAUUCUCAAGGAAGAAGAAAAUUUGCAGGUGUCUUUGUUAAUUGUAUAUCUGAAACUUCGGCAUGAAAUAUGUUGUGUCUGCCUAAUCAUAAGAAACAGUAUAACCUGCAAGAUUUUCCAGAAGUUCAUUGCUACUGUUCACUUGGAUAUGUUUCCCAAUGGAGCUGAAGAUUGGUAAAUGAAGAAUCAUCCAAGUUAGAAAAGACCCUAAAGACCAUCAAGUCCAGCUGCCAACCUGACCAGAUGAGUCCCAUCACAAACCCAAGUCUCUUAUUGCCAAAUACACACUUUUCCCAAAUACCUCCAGACACUGGAACUCUACCACUUCAAUGCAAUGAAGUGUCCUCCUCUUUUCUUUUUCUCAAGACUAAACAGCCCCAGUCCUCUCAGCUGCUUAUCAUUCUUGCCUUCUAGCCUCUUCACCAGCUUUGUUACUCUUCUCUGUACACGAUGAUCAACAUUCUUCUUGUAACAAGAGGCCCAAGACGCUUUCGACUCCCUGGACUGCUCUCUAGUGUAAACCUAUUACAGUACUCCCUGAAUACUUCAAUGGAUGAGUGAAUGUGUAGUGGUUACGCUGUACUAGCUUCUGAUGUAUUAUUACAGUGUGUUAUAAGCCAUCAAACAACAGUGUUUGGGACCAGGACUUAGAAAGCUCUGAGGUGCAGUGGGCAGAUUUUGGACAGACAUAAAUGCUGCCUACAGAAUUCUGGGAUGUGGUGUGUGUGGAAACAUCACCAUCCCUUCCCCCCCCGCCCCCAAAAAAGUAUUUUUUAGGAAAUAAACGCUCAAUACAAAGUAUAUAUGACCUUAGUAUUAAGAGAUCUAAGUUUUAUGUCUACAGAAUAUGAGUUCAUACCAUUUUCUCCUGAAGGUGAUGCAUGUGGAAAUACACUCAUUGGAGACGCUCUUUUUAUCGAUCAUGUUUGAGGAUAAUCAUGUAGGUAAAUUGCUAAAGAAAUAAAAUGCUGUGUGAUUAACAUACCUCUAACACCUUUCUCCCUAAUGCCAAAGAUAAUUUACUUGUUUUUAAAUGCACUGUUGAUUCUCCUUUUUUACAACAUAAUUUGAGCUAUAAACAGUGAAACCUCUUGACACUUUGAUUACAUGUAAAUGUCAGGCAGUGAAAUGUAACAGCCAUUGGAGGCAUUUUAGAGAAUUUUUCAUCCAGUUUUCUGUGUUUAAAGCAAUUAGAACUAAUAGUAUUUCCUCUCACACUCUUCAGAACCACUUUCAUUUUACAGAAUUGCUAUUUAGAUUCUAAGUGGAAGAGCUAAGAAAAUUAUUCUCAUACUGCCUCUAUAUGGUUACAGUUGAAGGAAGGAAAUAUUCUAACUUUCCACAGGAUGGAUUUAAAGUAAGGAGUGGCUCUGGAUUUUGAACAUCAUGAUUCCAGUAUGUUGAACCUGAUCAAUAGCAGUGACAGUAGGAGUCUAAAGGUUUGGAAUGAAUACUGUUGAAAUCAAAGGGAGGCAACCAAUUAAUUUCUGAGAACUUAAAGUAGAAUUUUUCAAGUGUCAUUUUAUUUCAUGUAUAUGAAUCUGAUGAAAUCAGAUCAUACUGUGCUCUCAACUGCACGCCAUCUUUUGUGGAGGAAAACCUGUUUUCCUGCCUGAGUUUGCUGGAUGUGGACUAGCAGGUAGGAGGUAGAAAUAUAUGAAAAGAGAAGGAAAAUCAGUCUCAUGAUUUGAAGAGUGGUGAUGGGAGAAAAGCUACCUCUUGGUGGAAUGAAAAAAGGGCUGAAGAAUUGUAAGCCAGUCUCCUCAAUUUCUGUUUUUAGUGUAUGUGGGUGAAGAUGUAUUUCCUUUUUACUGGAAAUGUGUUUGUAAGAAUGUAAUGUAAUAUGAGGACAUUGGUAACAGUCAAAUUGAUUUGAUAGCACUUUUUGACAAAACCAUCUAGUUUUCUUCUACAGGUUGUAUAUAUUGGAAUUGUUCACUUCAAUAAGGCUUUUUACAUGGUUCAUACAAAAGUCAUUUGUUUAUGUUAAACAGUGUAUUCUAGCUACACCACUACAAGGUGGUGUUAAACAGAUGAGAAAAAUGUGUCUAGAAAACAGCAAUGAAUAUUUCACUGUCAAAACUGAAACUAUGAAGUGGGGUACUAUAUAAGUCCUAGUCCUUGUAAAAAUCAGUAGGUUCACUAUUAACACAGACAAUAUUAAGUUUAGUAACCUUGAAGGUGAGCUGAUAGGAAAGAAGGGCCUACAAGUCCCUUGAAGACAAGCUAAAAAAGUAAGAACAAGGCUACAAAGAACAAAUGACCCAGCAACCACUUCCUCAUUGUUCCUAUAGCUGUUGUUCACUAUUGACCAGUCUUGACUAUAUGAAAAACUUUUAACAGAGAAUGUUCAGCACUGUUCAGUGCACAGUAGAAUCUCAUUUGAAUAUUGCUAUUUUAUAGUUGGAUGUGUUGUGUAGACAGAAAAUUCUUUAUGUAGGACUUAAUUCUGAUUAAAAUUGAGUACUGCAG
rnacentral:lncRNA from 7 species